UUUGGGGGUUGGGACGGAGAAAGCUAUGUCUGCCGCACAUUGGAUGUUGCGGUUCAAGCUUGUAGGCCGAGGCUAUACGAUUAAAAGGUAGCCUCAUUAAAGCCGAGAAGUGAUGUGGCCCAAAACCUUCGGGUGGAGGGUAAGUGACAGAUGCUACGCUUCCAAGAAAAGCAACACGUUGAGAUUCACAUUGUUCGUACCGUAAACCGACUCAGGUGGGUAAGGAGAGAAUCCUCAGGCGUUUGAGAGAAAUUGAGUGAAGGAACUCUGCAUAUUGAUACCGUAACUUCGGGAUAAGGUAUGCCUCAUGGUGUGAAGGGUUUACCCCGUAAGCAUCGCGAGGUCGCAGCGAAAUGAGGGCGCCGACUGUUUACCAAAAACACAGGUCUCUGCAAAGUCGUAAGACGACGUAUAGGGGCUGACGCCUGCCCGGUGCUGGAAGGUUAAAGGGAUAUGUUAGGGUUAAACCGAAGCAUUGAACUGAAGCCCCAGUAAACGGCGGCCGUAACGAUAACGGUCCUAAGGUAGCGAAAUUCCUUGGCGGGUAAGUUCCGUCCUGCACGAAGGCGUAACGAGUGCCCUACUGUCUCCACUCAGUCCUCAGUGAAAUUGAACUCCCGGUGCAGAUGCCGGGUUACCGCAGCAAGACGGAAAGACCCCGUGAACCUUUACUGUAACUUGGCAGUGAGUGUCGGUUCUUCAUGUGUAGAAUAGGUGGGAGACGUUGAUCCCAGGGCGCUAGCCUUGGGGGAGUCACCAGUGAAAUACCACCCUUGAAGGACUGGCUCUCUAACCUCGGCCCAUUAUCUGGGCCAGGGACACUGUCUGGUGGGCAGUUUGACUGGGGCGGUCGCCUCCCAAAGUGUAACGGAGGCGCGCGAAGGUCGACUCAGGCGGAUUGGAAACCCGCCGUCGAGUGCAAUGGCAUAAGUCGGCUUGACUGCGAGAUGGACACAUCGAGCAGGUGCGAAAGCAGGUCAUAGUGAUCCGGUGGUUCUGUAUGGAAGGGCCAUCGCUCAACGGAUAAAAGGUACUCCGGGGAUAACAGGCUUAUCCUGUCCAAGAGUUCACAUCGACGACAGGGUUUGGCACCUCGAUGUCGGCUCGUCACAUCCUGGGGCUGAAGUCGGUCCCAAGGGUUCGGCUGUUCGCCGAUUAAAGUGGCACGCGAGCUGGGUUCAAAACGUCGUGAGACAGUUUGGUCCCUAUCUGCUGUGGUCGUGGGAAAAUUGAGAGGACCUGUCCUUAGUACGAGAGGACCGGGAUGGACAUACCUCUGGUGCAUCGGUUGUGCCGCCAGGUGCAGUGCCGAGUAGCUAAGUAUGGAUGAGAUAACCGCUGAAAGCAUCUAAGCGGGAAGCUCUCCUCAAGAUUAGUUUUCCUAGACCGUUAAGGUUUCUAAAGGCCCGUUCUAGACUAGGACGUUGAUAGGCUGGAGGUGGAAGCGCCGUAAGGUGUGUAGCUGACCAGUACUAAUUGGCCGUGUAGCUUGAC
rnacentral:rRNA from 1 species